AGUCAGCUGGGCAAUUGCUACCUUUCACUCUUCUAUUAUCGAAUAUCCGAUAUAAGAGGAAUCCGGUAGAGGAAAGUCCGGGCUCCACAGAGCAGGGUGCCAGGUAACGCCUGGGGGGUGUGAACCCACGGCAAGUGCAACAGAAAAUAUACCGCCCGGCACCCAUGAUUUUAAUCGAUGUUGAUUUUAUCAACGUAGGUAGGGAAUCAUGGUGCUGGGUAAGGGUGAAAUGGUGUGGUAAGAGCGCACCGCGCGACUGGUAACAGCUCGUGGCAAGGUAAACCCCACCCGGAGCAAGGCCAAAUAGGAAUCCUCUAAUGUUGCUCGCAUUGGAUUCGGGUAGGCCGCUACAAGCCUGUGGUGACGCAGGUUGCAGAUGAAUAAUUGUCCUCGACAGAACCCGGCUUACAGGCUGACUCUU
rnacentral:RNase_P_RNA from 1 species